UCGGGAAUUUUGGGCAAUGGGCGCAAGCCUGACCCAGCAACGCCGCGUGAAGGAUGAAAUCCCUCGGGAUGUAAACUUCGCAAGAACGGGAAGAAUAAGUGGGAGUUAAUACCUUCCAUGAUGACGGUACCGUUUGUAAGCUCCGGCUAACUCCGUGCCAGCAGCCGCGGUAAUACGGGGGGAGCAAGCGUUGUUCGGAUUUACUGGGCGUAAAGGGCGCGUAGGCGGCCAGUGCAAGUCAGUUGUGAAAUCUCCGGGCUUAACUCGGAAAGGUCAACUGAUACUGCUCGGCUAGAGUGCGGAAGGGGCAACUGGAAUUCUCGGUGUAGCGGUGAAAUGCGUAGAUAUCGAGAGGAACACCUGCGGCGAAGGCGGGUUGCUGGGCCGACACUGACGCUGAGGCGCGAAAGCUAGGGGAGCGAACGGGAUUAGAUACCCCCGUAGUCC
rnacentral:rRNA from 1 species